GACGAACGCUGGCGGCGUGCUUAACACAUGCAAGUCGAACGGUGAAGCCCUUCGGGGUGGAUCAGUGGCGAACGGGUGAGUAACACGUGAGCAAUCUGCCCUUGACUCUGGGAUAACUUCGGGAAACCGGAGCUAAUACCGGAUAUGACACGCGGCCGCAUGGUCUGUGUGUGGAAAGAUUUAUUGGUCAGGGAUGAGCUCGCGGCCUAUCAGCUUGUUGGGGGGUAAUGGCCUACCAAGGCGACGACGGGUAGCCGGCCUGAGAGGGCGACCGGCCACACUGGGACUGAGACACGGCCCAGACUCCUACGGGAGGCAGCAGUAAGGAAUAUUGGUCAAUGGGCGGAAGCCUGAACCAGCCAUGCCGCGUGCAGGAAGACGGCCCUACGGGUUGUAAACUGCUUUUGUACCGGAAUAAACCUUGAUAUGUAUAUCGAGCUGAAUGUACGGUAAGAAUAAGGAUCGGCUAACUCCGUGCCAGCAG
rnacentral:rRNA from 1 species